rnacentral:RNase_P_RNA from 1 species
GGAGAAGGACAGACGAUCGCCGGCUCCUUUAGAGGGGCGGGAGGAAAGUCCGGGCUCCGCAGGGCAGGAUGGUCCUUAACGGGGACCGGGGGCGACCCCAGGGAAAGUGCCACAGAGAGAAGACCGCCUGCUAUCGCCUUGUGCGUUGGCAGGUAAGGGUGAAAGGGUGAGGUAAGAGCUCACCAGUGCCGGCGGCGACGUCGGCAGCUCGGUAAACCCCAUCCGGAGCAAGNNCCGGGUUGGCUGCUUGAGGCCGUCGGUAACGGCGGUCCUAGAGGAAUGAUCGUCACCCUGUCCCGGGUAACCGGGGGAGGGAACAGAACCCGGCUUACGACCUUCUCCGGCC